UUUUAACAUCUUCAGUUGUACCUUUUCUCAGUACAUCACGAUAUUUUCAACAUGUUCAAAUUCGUAAUCUUUGUAGCUCUCGUCUCUUCGGCGUUUGCAGUUCCAGCUCCUGAACCCAAACCAGCCCCCAAACCUGGUCUAAUUGCUACUUCUUACACAGCUCCAGUUGUUGCGUCUGCUCCACUUACAUACACUGCACCGCUAGCUUACAACAGCCUUCGUUAUUCCACAUAUUAUGCUCCUUCAGUGUACUCUUAUUCCCCAUAUUCUUCAUACAUUGUUUAAACAAAAUAAAAUAAUCAGCAACUAUGUUUUUUUUUUAAUUUACAUGCUAUAAAAAAAAUUAGCCCUUAAACAAAUUUUAA